AGGGACAUGGCGAGAAGCUGCGUUUUCGCUACCUCGACAGAGAACACAGAAAAAAACAUACUUUAUGUGCCGCCCAUUCGGCACAUUCUCUCACUAUGGAAUCAUACGUGGAAUUAAUUAAAUAUAGAAUUAGUGACGAUGUGAGAAACUGGGUGAAUUUAACAAUCCGUGAAAAGUGAGGCUGAGAUUCGUCCAUCAACUUACGAGGUGGAAUUGUUGGCGUUUGCUAUUCAAGGGUCUCGGAGAAGCAUUCCCUGGUCAAAGGGCCAUGACCUAGUGAAUGAACAUGCACCGGUAGACCUAUACCUGUAAGAAAUCGUGCCAAUAUUUCGACGAUGCAAAGUGAAAUAUCUCUGACACCACGAGUUGUAUGAGCAGUUGCUGCCUUCUGUUAAUCAUUCAGCAUUCCUCCCACUCGGAGCCACCGCAAAUGGUUCGAUUUUGAUGUAACCUCUCAUGAGAAGUCCAGGAAACGUUCAUC
rnacentral:lncRNA from 1 species